GAAUUUUGGACAAUGGGCGAAAGCCUGAUCCAGCAAUGCCGCGUGCAGGAUGAAGGCCUUCGGGUUGUAAACUGCUUUUGUACGGAACGAAAAGCUUUUGGUUACUACCCUGGAGUCAUGACGGUACCGUAAGACUAACCACCGGCUUACUAAGUGCCAGCAACCGGGGUAAUACGUAUGGUGCAAGCGUUAAUCGGAAUUACUGGGUGGAAAGCGUGCGCAGGCGGUUUUGUAAGACAGAGGUGAAUUCCCCGGGCUCAACCUGGGAACUGACUUUGUGACUGCAAGGCUAGAGUACGGCAGAGGGGGGUGGAAGUCCGCGUGUAGCAGUGAAAUGCGUAGAUAUGCGGAGGAACACCGAUGGCGAAGGCAACCCCCUGGGCCUGUACUGACGCUCAUGCACGAAAGCGUGGGGAGCAAACA
rnacentral:rRNA from 1 species